rnacentral:rRNA from 1 species
CCACACUGGGACUGAGACACGGCCCAGACUCCUACGGGAGGCAGCAGUAGGGAAUCUUCGGCAAUGGACGAAAGUCUGACCGAGCAACGCCGCGUGAGUGAAGAAGGUUUUCGGAUCUUAAAGCUCUGUUGUAAGUCAAGAACGUGUGUGAGAGUGGAAAGUUCACACAGUCACGGUAGCUUUCCAGAAAGGAACGGCUAACUACGUGCCAGCAGCCGCGGUAAUACGUAGGUCCCGAGCGUUGUCCGGAUUUAUUGGGCGUAAAGGGAGCGCAGGCGGUCAGGAAAGUCUGGAGUAAAAGGCUAUGGCUCAACCAUAGUGUGCUCUGGAAACUGUCUGACUUGAGUGCAGAAGGGGAGAGUGGAAUUCCAUGUGUAGCGGUGAAAUGCGUAGAUAUAUGGAGGAACACCAGUGGCGAAAGCGGCUCUCUGGUCUGUCACUGACGCUGAGGCUCGAAAGCGUGGGUAGCGAACAGGAUUAGAUACCCUGGUAGUCCACGCCGUAAAC